UACGAAGGGUGCAAGCGUUACUCGGAAUUACUGGGCGUAAAGCGUGCGUAGGCGGUUCGUUAAGUCUGCUGUGAAAGCCCCGGGCUCAACCUGGGAAUGGCAGUGGAUACUGGCGAGCUAGAGUGUGUCAGAGGAUGGUGGAAUUCCCGGUGUAGCAGUGAAAUGCGUAGAGAUCGGGAGGAACAUCAGUUGCGAAGGCGGCUCUCUGGACCAGCACUGACACUGAGGCACGAAAGCGUGGGGAGCAAACAGG
rnacentral:rRNA from 1 species